rnacentral:rRNA from 1 species
GAUGAACGCUAGCGACAGGCCUAACACAUGCAAGUCGAGGGGCAGCACAAGGAGCAAUCUGAGGUGGCGACCGGCGCACGGGUGAGUAACACGUAUGCAACCUGCCUUCAACAAGGGGAUAACCCGUUGAAAGACGGACUAAUACCCUAUAACACAGGGGUCCCGCAUGGGAAUAUUUGUUAAAGGACAACCGGUUGAAGAUGGGCAUGCGUUCCAUUAGCUAGUUGGCGGGGUAAGGGCCCACCAAGGCAACGAUGGAUAGGGGAACUGAGAGGUUUAUCCCCCACACUGGUACUGAGACACGGACCAGACUCCUACGGGAGGCAGCAGUGAGGAAUAUUGGUCAAUGGACGCAAGUCUGAUCCAGCCACGUCGCGUGAAGGAAGACGGCCCUAUGGACUGUAAACUGCUUUUAGCAGAGAAGAAACGCCUUCAUUUAUGAGGGUCUGACGGUAUCUGCGGAAUAAGCACCGGCUAACUCCGUGCCAGCAGCCGCGGU